rnacentral:rRNA from 1 species
GAUGAACGCUAGCGGCAGGCUUAACACAUGCAAGUCGAGGGGUAUGGUUCUUCGGAACCAGAGACCGGCGCACGGGUGCGUGACGCGUAUGCAAUCUACCUUUUACAGAGGGAUAGCCCAGAGAAAUUUGGAUUAAUACCUCAUAGUAUAACAUGACCGCAUGGUCGAGUUAUUAAAGUCACAACGGUAAAAGAUGAGCA